UACGUAGGCAGCGAGCGUUGUUCGGAGUUACUGGGCGUAAAGGGCUCGUAGGCGGCCAACUAAGUCCGACGUGAAAUCCCCAGGCUUAACCUGGGAACUGCGUCGGAUACUGGAUGGCUUGAAUCCGGGAGAGGGAUGCGGAAUUCCAGGUGUAGCGGUGAAAUGCGUAGAUAUCUGGAGGAACACCGGUGGCGAAGGCGGCAUCCUGGACCGGCAUUGACGCUGAGGAGCGAAAGCCAGGGGAGCAAACGGG
rnacentral:rRNA from 1 species